GAUGAACGCUAGCGGCAGGCUUAAUACAUGCAAGUCGAGGGGCAGCGCGGGUAGCAAUACCUGGCGGCGACCGGCAAACGGGUGCGGAACACGUACGCAACCUUCCCAUAACUGGUGAAUAGCCCUCCGAAAGGAGGAUUAAUACACCGUAACAUAACGAAGAGGCAUCUUUUUGUUAUUAUAGUAGCAAUACGGUUUUGGAUGGGCGUGCGCCUGAUUAGGUAGUGGGCGGGGUAACGGCCCACCAAGCCUGCGAUCAGUAACUGGGGUGAGAGCACGACCAGUCACACGGGCACUGAGACACGGGCCCGACUCCUACGGGAGGCAGCAGUAAGGAAUAUUGGUCAAUGGACGAAAGUCUGAACCAGCCAUGCCGCGUGAAGGAUUAAGGCCCUCUGGGUUGUAAACUUCUUUUAUCUGGGACGAAAAAAGGGCAUUCUUGCUCACUUGACGGUACCAGAGGAAUAAGCACCGACUAACUCCGUGCCAGCAGCCGCCGUAA
rnacentral:rRNA from 1 species